rnacentral:lncRNA from 1 species
AAAACUUACAGACUUCAACCGUUCGGGCAGUACGGGAAAUAUCCAACCUCGGCGGUCUUGCUGUAUUGGCCAAAUAAGCGAUAGCGCGAGGUCAAUACAGCAAGACCGGGGUUGAUUGUUUUCUGGGACUGCCCUCACUCUUGGUCAGUAAGUUAUUAGUAUUUAGUUUUUUGUGAAUUGUUAUUUAUUGUUUAUUGUGCAAAAGCACGGGAAUUUUUCACAAAAUCAUGCAUGAAAUUAUUUUAGAUUAAUAAAAUCAUGCAGUCAUUAAUAAUUCAUGAGGAAAGUCGUAUCUUUAUAUCUGAUAGAGAUUUCCCCUGAUUUGAUUUUCUCGACUUACACAACGUAUUUUGUGAAAACUACUUCGUUUUUGAAGCAAUUUAAAGUCAUUCGCAGUGGGUGUUUUAUCAGACUUAAAGAUACUCGGCUUCGCCCCGUAUCUUUAUCUCUGAUAAAACACAACCUCGUACCCAGGGUUCUCUUUGUGCUGGCCGUCCAGCACAAAGAGAACCCUGGGUACGAGGUUGGAUAAAGCACUGCUGCCCAUGUUUUAAAUAGUACAUAAGCUAUAGAGAAUGACAACAAUAUUGGUAUGUUGAUAGUGUGUACGAUCAAGCACUAAAACUGAAAUCAAUUGCAAGUUUUGCUAUAGAACGUGACGUGCACCUCUAAAUAGUUACAUGUUGUCAUGCACAGUUAUCAUGAAAUAUAACUUUCCAGUAAAACUUGGUUGUUGUAAUAUAAAGAUCUUACUUCACUUCCUUAAAGAUUAU